UUUUAUUUAUUUCUAUUUAAAGAUUUAAUUAAAAUCCUCCUUUCCUUAAUUUAUUCAACACCAAGCAGGCGAGAACAUUAUUGGUCUCGCGAUGUUUCAAUGUCAUGUGACAGCUGCACGUCAGCGUCCUAAAUUGACAGCUACGGCUUUUAUUGCUGCUGAAUCGCACCUUAGGUAGGAGACGCUGUCGGACUCUGACGUGCAGACGUGAACAUUCGGCUAAACGUUGAAACGAUCACGGUUUGUCAAGAGGGAACUGGUGAGUGUUUGUUCGGGAGCUAGCAUGCUAGCACUAGCCUCCCCAGCUGUUAAGUAGGUGACGCCAAUCUAAAGCACAUUCAAAUUGAAAUGCUUAUUGAAACUAUUGUUGUGAAAAGAGUAACUUGAAUUUGCAUAAGUUGCAUUUAAUUAUGUAAACUCCUGUAAUUAGAAAAUACAUGUACAUGUUGAUUGAUUAUUUAGGCCUGUUUACACAGGCCAGGUGUAUUGCAGAUCCCCCCCCUCCGCUCAAGGAGUGGCUGAAGGGGUUAAGAUGCAUCACGGAUUGUCUGGCUUCAUGCUGACCAGACUGGCGAGCUAACCGUAUUAGCGGAUCCGGAGAUACAACACUUAUCUGUGAAAACUUCCGAACUGGUUGGAGAUUCGGCCCAACAGUCUUCACUGAUGGAACUGGAUAUUUAUUUUUUGUUUUUCCUUUCAUCAUCAACAAAGACUGGUUGACUUUCUUGGAUUAAGGAACCCUUUUGAACUCUAAAUUGUGGACUAAUUUGUAUAUAUU